GAAGGAAAGAAAGUAGAGAGCAUCUGCAGAGAACCAGAGAAGAGCGGCAUUGUAGAAGACAGAUGGGAAAUAACUUCCUUGAUAGCAGUUUGUGUUGCUGUGGGCAUGGGUGGAAAGAAUGCAAAAUAUAGAAAGUAUGUCAGCACCAAGCUACCAAAGUGCAUUCAGAAGCAGAGGAAAGUGGUGAACCAGACUUGCCUUGGGACACAAGGAAUUGAAUUCCACCAGUAUGUUUGGAGAUGGGGAUGGGGAUUGUAGCGAGAUCCAUCACGGUCUGAAUCUCUACAAAGCCAGGUGCGGGGGGUAGAGAUAACAGGUAGGCUUAGUUGGGAUCCAAUCUACUCCUUUAAAGAAGCCUUCAGAGAACCAUGACAAGGUGGCGCUAAGGGCAACUCAGGCUGCAUCUCUAAGGGCAAUCCAGGCUGCAUCGCUCCUUUAGUUGCUGCUCUUGGGCCCUGGCUCAUCACACCGGAAACCCUGGGGAAGCCUAGUCCAGAAGUAACAGUGACCCAGACUCAAUCUCAAGGCUGCAUUCUAAAAGUACCCAGCUCUUUGUUUCUGCACAGUUCCCUCACACCCGCGGCGCCCCCACCUGAGUUUCCUCUUCUAGUCUUCAAGGGGGUGGCCAUCUUUGGUAUUUCCUCCCUUAACUUUUCCGGAGAGAUUUUGGGAACUUUAAUGUAAUUUCAACCAUGUAGGGAAGUAGCAUGGAAAGCAGAAAGAAAGGAAAACACCAAGGCCAGAAGAUUCGGAUCUAUCUAGUCCCGACUCUGCCACCAAGUAUCUCUUCUCAGUCUCCCAGCCGAAGCCUCCAUCAAUCUGCCAUUAUGCACCAGCACUUUUUUUUUUCUUCACUAUCAGCAUGAGGAUUUGCUGGUGACAUGCUUCUGUAAAAUCUUCUGAAAUAAUUUCUAAUUAGGAACAUUUCAGACAUCCCAAAAAGGACAGUUAGGUCUGAGAAAUGUAAACUGAGGACAGACUUUGAAGGUCUUAGACUCUGAGGGUUGGGGAAGAACUGUAUGUGGCAAAGAGUCUUCCCUCCCUCACCUUCUGGUACACUCAAGUCAGUUAUAUAUAGGUUCUUUUAUUACACAUAUACAUAAGAGCAAGACAUGCUGUUUAAGCAUGUCUUUUAUAGACAUGUCUUUAAGAAAAGGACAGGUCGUCUUUUGCAGAUAGUAGCACCACACUGAUAGCAUCCUUGGCAGCUGUUCACUACAUUCUCUGGAGAUAUCUGUAAUAUGCAAAUAGAGCUGAGUUGGUUAAUAUUGACUGUUAGCCAAAGACAGGACUAAAUCCCAGCCUACUAAUCCAUUUUCUUGUUAGGGACUCAUAAUUCAUUUCCACUGUUUAGCUCCCAUAAGCAAGCUACAAUGCCAAUCUUACACGAAAGUUCAAAAAAUUAUUUAGUGUAAUAAAACCUCGUUGUGUAAGGGUUGGCAUUUCCACGUGUUCUUUGAGAGCCGGGCCUUUAACAUUUACCUAUUGGUCAUUCCGUUCCCUUCCUUUAAGGAUUAUCAUGUUUCUCGUUUUCUGGUUAGAUUGUUUUAAUUUUUAAAUGAUCUUACAGGUUUUAUCUGGACUCUUAUAUGCCCAUGGCACAAGUUCUUUGGUGGUUAUGGGUUUACAAACAACUUUUCCAGUUGGGCCCAUA